rnacentral:tRNA from 1 species
GGCCCGUUCGUCUAUCGGUUAGGACGUCAGGUUUUCAACCUGAAAAGAGGGGUUCGACUCGGCUUCGGCCCGCCA